rnacentral:rRNA from 1 species
AUACGUAUGUCGCAAGCGUUAUCCGGAUUUAUUGGGCGUAAAGCGCGUCUAGGCGGCUUAGUAAGUCUGAUGUGAAAAUGCGGGGCUCAACCCCGUAUUGCGUUGGAAACUGUUAAACUAGAGUACUGGAGAGGUAGGCGGAACUACAAGUGUAGAGGUGAAAUUCGUAGAUUUUUGUAGGAAUGCCGAUGGGGAGGCCUGCCAACAGAACAGAUACGUACGCUAAGGCGCGAAAGCGUGGGUAGCAAGCAGUAUCAGAUGCCCAGGUAGGCCACGCCCAAAACGAUGAAUAGUAGAGUUUGGGGGUCGAACCUCAGCGCCCAAGCUAACGCGAUAAGUAAUCCGCCUGGGGAGUAUGUACGCAAGUAGGAAACUCAAAUGAAUUGACUGGG